GACGUUAGCGGCGGACGGGUGAGUAACACGUGGAUAACCUACCUAUAAGACUGGGAUAACUUCGGGAAACCGGAGCUAAUACCGGAUAAUAUAUUGAACCGCAUGGUUCAAUAGUGAAAGACGGUUUUGCUGUCACUUAUAGAUGGAUCCGCGCCGCAUUAGCUAGUUGGUAAGGUAACGGCUUACCAAGGCAACGAUGCGUAGCCGACCUGAGAGGGUGAUCGGCCACACUGGAACUGAGACACGGUCCAGACUCCUACGGGAGGCAGCAGUAGGGAAUCUUCCGCAAUGGGCGAAAGCCUGACGGAGCAACGCCGCGUGAGUGAUGAAGGUCUUCGGAUCGUAAAACUCUGUUAUUAGGGAAGAACAAAUGUGUAAGUAACUAUGCACGUCUUGACGGUACCUAAUCAGAAAGCCACGGCUAACUACGUGCCAGCAGCCGCGGUAAUACGUAGGUGGCAAGCGUUAUCCGGAAUUAUUGGGCGUAAAGCGCGCGUAGGCGGUUUUUUAAGUCUGAUGUGAAAGCCCACGGCUCAACCGUGGAGGGUCAUUGGAAACUGGAAAACUUGAGUGCAGAAGAGGAAAGUGGAAUUCCAUGUGUAGCGGUGAAAUGCGCAGAGAUAUGGAGGAACACCAGUGGCGAAGGCGACUUUCUGGUCUGUAACUGACGCUGAUGUGCGAAAGCGUGGGGAUCAAACAGGAUUAGAUACCCUGGUAGUCCACGCCGUAAACGAUGAGUGCUAAGUGUUAGGGGUUUCCGCCCCUUAGUGCUGCAGCUAACGCAUUAAGCACUCCGCC
rnacentral:rRNA from 1 species